CCGGGAGGUGGAGGUUGCGGUGAGCCAAGGUCACGCCAUUGCAUUCCAAUAGGGAAACUCCGUCGCAAAAAAAAAAAAAAAAAAGAAAAGAAAAGAAAAUAGGAACAGCAGAUGGAAGGACUGAAGGAGCAGUCAUUGCCCCAGGGCUGAGAGAGUGCACCCAAGGGAAGCUUCUCCUUCCCCUGGGGUUGAGACCCAGACCCUGUUGGGGAGGGCACAGCUAUGGUUCACUAAAUGGCAGAGAGGUCACUGAGGUGUCUUCCAGUGGAACUUGCUGGUAAUCCAACCUUUAGAACUUGCUGGAUAUCUACCCUUUAGAGUAUGAAGAAAGCUGUUCACAGGGAGGCGUCUCAUGGAGGCUUUUCACUACAAAUGCACCUACAAAAGCAGGGUUCUGGAAGAAACAGGUGGCUUCUGGAUGCUCCCAGAGAAGCCUCCCAAGCUGCAGGAGCCUGCUGAGCAGAAGCUUGGCAACCCGGAGGCAAAGCUCUGUCCUCCUGCAGUGUCUCUCCCAUGCCCCAUGUCCACUAUGCUUAACAACAAGCCAGCUGGCAAAGGCAGUUGUUUAAAAGGUCUAGAUCUGGC
rnacentral:lncRNA from 10 species